GAUGAAGAACGUAGCGAAAUGCGAUAAGUAAUGUGAAUUGCAGAAUUCAGUGAAUCAUCGAAUCUUUGAACGCACAUUGCGCCCGCCAGCACUCUGGCGGGCAUGCCUGUUCGAGCGUCAUUUCAACCAUCAAGCCCCCAGGGGCUUGUGCUGGGGCCCUGCGGCUGCCCGCAGGCCCUGAAAACCAGUGGCGGGCUCGCUAGUCACACCGAGCGCAGUAGCACAUCUCGCUCAGGGCGUGCGGCGGGCUCCUGCCGUGAAACCCCCCACUGUAACCCCAAAGGUUGACCUUGGAUCAGGUAGGAAUACCCGCUGAACUUAAGCAUAUCAAUAAGCGGAGGA
rnacentral:misc_RNA from 1 species